rfam:Bacteroides nordii CL02T12C05 genomic scaffold supercont1.1, whole genome shotgun sequence.
ACGUUUUUUUCAUAGAGAUUUAGAUUUAAGGUUAGAAGAAUUGCGGAAGUCGUGAGACUUCCCUUUUUUUCGCUUUAACGUUUACUGCCAUAAAGAAUUCAUGAUACAUUGAAUUCGCUUCAAUCUAAAGGCAAGUAAACAAGAAAAGCCCCUUCGAGAGAAGAGGCUUUUUA